GACCAGCUAAAAAUCAGAGGUUUCCACAACCUCUUCUUUGGGUUAAUUUCAUUUGCUAGAGCGGCUCAUGGAACCCAGAAAACGUGCUUACUCACUAGAUUACCUGUUUAACUCAGGAACGGCCAGAUGGAGAUGCAUGGCUUAAGGCAUGUGGAAAGGGCGUGCAGUUCCUGUGUUGUCUGGAUGAGCCACUGUCCCCAAAUCUCCAGGUGUUCCCCAACAAAAGCUCUCCAAACCCCACCCUUUUGGGGGCUUCAUUACAUAGGCACGAUUGAUUAAAUCAUUGACAUCUGUGAUUGAGGCUCCUUCUGCCUCCCCACAGGUCUAGGGGUGGGACUAGAAAUUCCAGUCCUGUCAUCAGCUGGCCCAAUCUCAGAUCUGACCCACAAAAGAAGAAGCAAACAGAGAGGAGAUGAGUAACUCAGGAAAAAGAGAAAGGCAUGUGCUUGAUCUUGGCAACAACCUGUUUUCAAGAGAGACCAAGGGGAGCACAUAGAGAACACGACAGAACACAGGCAAGUGAUAGAUAAACAGAAGUAGAAGGGCCUGAGGCAGCUGAGCCGAUGGUGGAUUGAAGGGUGCAGGGUGGGGAGAGGGAUGUCCUUGUCCCUGCUAAAUGAGUAUGGACAGAACAGGAUUUUAGUACAGGGCCAUAAAGUCCUGACCAUAUGGGAUUUCGGUCCAUUUUUCCGGUCAGACUUUCCCAUCCGCUAGUUUGUGUUGAGGCCAACAGUAUUAACAAAAGAGGCCAACCUUGGAAGGCAGCAUACAAGGUGUCCUUUUUAGGCCUUUCCCCAUGUCGACUGAAAGAGCAGGAGAAAGUGAGCAGCUCUCCAGCACAAGGCAGACAAGGGUUGGAGACAUGGAUGGAGAGGGCCCUUCAACCUGCUGUCACCUUGUCUCUUCAUGGUUGCCAAAAAGAUGUUGCCAGGUGAACUGGGGAGACCCUGGGCCCUGGAGCUUGACCCAGCCAGACCCAAAGAAGUCACCAAAGGUUCUUGGUCAUGUCACGAGAAGGAAUUCAAGGACAUACAUGCAGCACAGCAGGAAAGUUUAUCAAAGCAAAAAGUACA